rnacentral:rRNA from 1 species
GUGGAGUAUGUGGUUUAAUUCGACGCAACGCGAAGAACCUUACCAGCUCUUGACAUGUCCAUUAUGGGUCUGGGAGAUCAGAUCCUUCGGUUCGGCCGGGUGGAACACAGGUGCUGCAUGGCUGUCGUCAGCUCGUGUCGUGAGAUGUUGGGUUAAGUCCCGCAACGAGCGCAACCCUCACCUUUAGUUGCUACCAGGUUAUGCUGGGCACUCUAGAGGAACCGCCGGUGAUAAGCCGGAGGAAGGCGGGAUGACGUCAAGUCCUCAUGGCCCUUACGGGCUGGGCUACACACGUACUACAAUGGUGGUGACAGUGGGAUGCGAAAGCGCGAGCUGGAGCGAAUCCCCAAAAGCCAUCUCAGUUCGGAUUGCACUCUGCAACUCGAGUGCAUGAAGUUGGAAUCGCUAGUAAUCGUGGAUCAGAAUGCCACGGUGAAUACGUUCCCGGGCCUU